AGUGCUGAGGCGAUGGGCGAUGACCAAAAUUGUCCUGUUAUGCAUGGCGCCUUCCAGUGCCUGGUGAACCUGUUGGCAGAUAAAACACUUCAUUCAACUGCGGUGUUGGAGGAGACACACGGCAGGAAGUCUGCAAGAUUCUGUACCCAGACGGGAGGCCCUGAGAAUACAGAAAAGCAUCCUGGCCAAGAGAGGGAAGGAGGUUGCAUCUAUACAUGGCUCCCCUAAGAGAUGGAUAGAUGGAUGGACAUUCCCUGACUGGAGAAGACGACAGGGAAGGACCAUCACCGAGGGAUAUUUAUUCCCCCCAGGCGAUAGAUGGCAGCAACCCUCCAUAUUGGCGUCCAUUCAGGAACCAGUAGGGGAUGCUGGGAGUUGUAGUCAGGCAGCACAGCCCUGCUGGGGUCCGGGG